UAUUUUGGGAACUUCCAUUCAUAUUUUGUCUCAGGGAAUGUUUUGUUUGAGGGAAUGGCCAAGUAUUGUUCACAUUUGGACCAGAGCAUAAAAGAGGAUAAGGCCCUUCUCAAAGCCACUGUGAUGCAGAAGCAGUGAUGAACAGGAAGUCAUCAUAGGACAGGAGAACCAAAGCAAUCAACAAUCAACAGCAGUGGGGCUGAUCAUAACCUCUGGGAUGGUGCUGCGAGGAUGACCACAACCAAAGGCAGAGGUUCUUCUCCCUGAUGGAGCAUUAGUCUCACCUGGGGAGUUUUCAAAGUGCCUGAUGCCCAGACCAUACCUCAGGCCAUCUUACCAGCUGCCAAACAAUGCUGAUGCUGCGGGUCCAUGGACCACAGUUUGAGUAGCAGAGAGGUCCCUGCUGCAGAAACCAAUGUCUCACCUCUUGAGCCAUCCUAUGAUCAAUGCUGUCUCCAAUGUGUCUCAGCUUCACGGUCAACUCCUGGAUUAUUUCUUCCUGAUGAAGGCUCUGGCAAAUU